rnacentral:rRNA from 1 species
GAUGAACGCUGGCGGCGUGCCUAAUACAUGCAAGUCGAGCGAACAGACGAGGAGCUUGCUCCUCUGACGUUAGCGGCGGACGGGUGAGUAACACGUGGAUAACCUACCUAUAAGACUGGGAUAACUUCGGGAAACCGGAGCUAAUACCGGAUAAUAUAUUGAACCGCAUGGUUCAAUAGUGAAAGACGGUUUUGCUGUCACUUAUAGAUGGAUCCGCGCCGCAUUAGCUAGUUGGUAAGGUAACGGCUUACCAAGGCAACGAUGCGUAGCCGACCUGAGAGGGUGAUCGGCCACACUGGAACUGAGACACGGUCCGGACUCCUACGGGAGGCAGCAGUAGGGAAUCUUCCGCAAUGGGCGAAAGCCUGACGGAGCAACGCCGCGUGAGUGAUGAAGGUCUUCGGAUCGUAAAACUCUGUUAUUAGGGAAGAACAAAUGUGUAAGUAACUAUGCACGUCUUGACGGUACCUAAUCAGGAAGCCACGGCUAACUACGUG